rnacentral:rRNA from 1 species
GAUGAACGCUGGCGGCGUGCCUAAUACAUGCAAGUCGAGCGAACGGACGAGAAGCUUGCUUCUCUGAUGUUAGCGGCGGACGGGUGAGUAACACUUGGAUAACCUACCUAUAAGACUGGGAUAACUUCGGGAAACCGGAGCUAAUACCGGAUAAUAUUUUGAACCGCAUGGUUCAAAAGUGAAAGACGGUCUUGCUGUCACUUAUAGAUGGAUCCGCGCUGCAUUAGCUAGUUGGUAAGGUAACGGCUUACCAAGGCAACGAUGCAUAGCCGACCUGAGAGGGUGAUCGGCCACACUGGAACUGAGACACGGUCCAGACUCCUACGGGAGGCAGCAGUAGGGAAUCUUCCGCAAAGGGCGAAAGCCUGACGGAGCAACGCCGCGUGAGUGAUGAAGGUCUUCGGAUCGUAAAACUCUGUUACUAGGGAAGAACAUAUGUGUAAGUAACUGUGCACAUCUUGACGGUACCUAAUCAGAAAGCCACGGCUAACUACGUG